GAUGAACGCUGGCGGCGUGCCUAAUACAUGCAAGUCGAGCGAACGGACGAGAAGCUUGCUUUUCUGAUGUUAGCGGCGGACGGGUGAGUAACACGUGGAUAACCUACCUAUAAGACUGGGAUAACUUCGGGAAACCGGAGCUAAUACCGGAUAAUAUUUUGAACCGCAUGGUUCAAAAGUGAAAGACGGUCUUGCUGUCACUUAUAGAUGGAUCCGCGCUGCAUUAGCUAGUUGGUAAGGUAACGGCUUACCAAGGCAACGAUGCAUAGCCGACCCGAGAGGGUGGUCGGCCACACUGGAACUGAGACACGGUCCAGACUCCUGCGGGAGGCAGCAGUAGGGAAUCUUCCGCAAUGGGCGAAAGCCUGACGGAGCAACGCCGCGUGAGUGAUGAAGGUCUUCGGAUCGUAAAACUCUGUUAUUAGGGAAGAACAUAUGUGUAAGUAACUGUGCACAUCUUGACGGUACCUAAUCAGAAAGCCACGGCUAACUACGUG
rnacentral:rRNA from 1 species